GGUGGGUGGGAGUUCUUGAUGAUAAAUUGAGGCCAGACAGCUGUUGACCUGUGCUCUUGGGCCACCCACCCCCAGGCUGGGUAUGAACAACGUGGCCCCCACCACCCUGGAGGGAGCCCAGAGCCCAAUAGGCAGGCCUUUGGUGUGGCCCUGCAGGCCCACAGCGACACCAUGUGGCGGCGAGAAGAAACUGCAGCAGAGUCGGCACAGGACCCCAGCUUCCAUCCUCACGUUGUGUGGACAUGGUCCAGCUUCCUGCCGCGGACCAUGAGCAAUCCAAGGGGCAGAAGGGACAGUGCUGCGGGAGGCGGAGGUGCUGUGGCUCUGGGAAGGCUGAAAAGGGACGGCUGCAAAGGAGAAGAGCUUCGAGUCCUUUCCAUCAGGAGAAAAACCCGGUCAGCUGUGGAGGAGCACUGCACAGGAGUCAGAAAGUGGAGUCUGGGCGUGACCUUGCACCUGACCAGCCUGGGGCUCUAGGUCCGCCACAUCUGGACUAAUCUCCUGUGUCCUGAGCUCCCAGGACCCCAGAGGCAAGCAUGGAGGGGCCACGCUGGCAGAUUGAAGUCACAGAGAAAGGCAGGAAAACUUCCUGGCUUAGGUUUCCAAAGGCCUCUGGGGGAUGAAGAGAACCCACAGUGGCUUAGGACGAGCUCCUGCACAGCGGCCUGUUUCCCAAUUGCAUCGUGUAUCUCUUUGCCUCUCUUGGCUCAGCCAUGGCCCCAGCCCCAGGCCAUCCAAGGGGCAGCCUGGUGAGGUUUCUUCAACUUUGCUAAUGACUUGACCUACAGUCUUAAGUCAAGAAGGUGUCGCUCUCCUUUGUGAUGGCUGGACGCACAGGAGCUGUGGUCAGGAUGGGGCUAGAGGAGCUGAAAUCCCAGGGCAACAAGGGUAUUUAAAAACACAUCGCAGGAGAAACAGCUAAAGAGUCUUGGAACCAGGAAUCAUAAGCUGUUUGAUGGGAUGAACUAUCUUGGGAGUGAUGAGGUCCCCAUCACUGAAAGUAUUCAAGCAGAGAGAGUCAUGGAAUUAGGAGACGGAAGAGCAUCAGACACUGAAUGAAGUCUGCACUACAUGAGAUGAAGAACCCUUCCAGCCCUGAGGCCGAGCAGCCACUUCUCUGGAGCAGGCUGGCCCAUCUAUGUCCAGGAGGCCAGCCCCAGGCUAGCUUCUGAGCACGGGGAGCUAAGUCCUUCGCCUUCCAGAGACUGCACAAAGUGUGUGCCACCUCCACAGAACCCUCCUCAUCCACCCGAGAACUCUUCCUCACCUGACCUAAAGCUCUUCAUUUCAUACCACCUUUCAAGCGAAUUAAGGAUUAAUUGCCAGCAGCAAUCUCUGUCUUUGUUUGUUUUCUCUAAUGGAAAACCUUUCUCUCGGGAGGGUAAGGUUAUCAGUCAUUCACAGCUCAGUUGUGCUGUGUUUGAUUAGACUGGACGGCAAAGCUGAGUCCUGUUUCGGCUCUGUGCGAUCCUGGGCCCCUUGGAGCCUGUUUUCUCAUCUAUGAAAUGGGAGUAAUAAUAGUGCUUAUUGCACAGUUGUUUUAAGAACUAAAAAUUUAAAUUGCCUAGAAUGUUAUACAAACAUAAGCUGCCAUAUUUUGGAAAAAUGAGCCAAGAUCAGUGGUGCCAAGGGAAGAAUGGGCAGAGGUGAGCUGUGGGCAGCCGUGGAGGAUGGUCCACGGUGUGGCUGCCAGAGGGCAUCGGGGGCCAGGCAACUCCAGAAAGGAGCUAGGAAUGUUAGAGAAAACUGCACUAACAGCCAGCAUGCGUGAAGAACUGAUUCAUACUACACCGUGGAUGAACCUCAAGAACAUUAUUCUCGGCAAAAGCAGACAGACACAAAAGGUCACAUAGCAAAUGCUUCCGUUGAUAUGAAAUGUCCAGCACUGGCAAAUCCACAGAGACAGAAAGUAGAUUAGUAAUAGCCAGCGGCUGCAGACAGGGAAGGAGGGGAGUGAUGACUUAAUGGGUACAGGGAUUUUAUUUUGGGGUAAUGAAGAUAUUUUGGAAUGAGACAGAGCUGGUGGCUGCAUAGAGCACUAUGAAAGUGCUAAUUGCCAUUGAAUUAUUCACUUCAAAACAGUUAAUUUAACGCUAUGUGAAUUUCACCUCAAUAAAAAAGGUACAAAAUAAAAAGCCUGUUUUCCUGGACCCAUGCUCUGUGGAGUGGGCAACCAGCAGGUAGAGACAAGAAGGAAAAUGGGAUGUCAUGACCCCACUUGAAGGCAAGGUCACUAAGGCUCAGAGAGGACCAGUGUCUUGCUCAAGGUCACAGAGCACCUGUGUGACACAGCAGGACACAUGCCCAGGUCUGUCUGACUGUCAAGCCCACACCUUUCCUGUCACCACACUGUCCUUCUGGAACAUUCUUCCCCUGGGGAGAGCCAUGGCCCUUCCACCUGCCAGCUCUGAGGGGGUAUUGGCCUCUGUAAACAAAGUAAUAAAUAGCCCUGUGGGGCAGGCCGUGCAGCUAUUAGGGUGACCCUGAAACGUUCCCAGAAAAUGCCAGUAAGACCUUGGCCACCUAACCCGGAAUGGCUGAAGAGUUAAUUUUUUAUUUGUGAUAAGUGUGGCGGGCUCGGUGACAGCUCCUUGAGUGGUGUUUCCUGUGACUGGUCUGGCGUUCAAACAUUAACCUCUACCCCAGGGAGCUUAACCAUUAACCCUGCACCCUCAACGGAGAGCCCCAGCAGCCCCUCCCCCCACACAGGUGUCAGGAUAGAGUCUCGGUGCUGGGAGAGGCCCCCUGGACACCAGAUCUAGGCCUUGGCCAUUUCUCCUCUUAGUCUUUUAGGGGAUUUUUCCUCAGACAUCACACCCGCUCCACACUCCCAGAUGGAGCCCUUGGCCCUGGCUUCUGACCCCCUCAGUGGGGCAGAUCUGAAGACUUUUCCAGCAGGCAGAGUCCUUGGGCCUCUUUGGAGCUUUAAAACCAUGUUUUCAAAGUAACAGAUCCCCUUUCCUAAAUGCACACUGCAGAAGGUCACUAUGCAAAACAGAUCCCAGUGACAGCUGUUUGUGAUGGGUGGGGGGCCAGCUGAGCCACCCUUUCACCCACCUGCACGCUGGCCCUCCUUGGUUCAGCCGCCAGGGCCUGGCCAGACACCACAGCUCUUGCAAAGCCAGGGGAGCCCUUUUCUUAA
rnacentral:lncRNA from 10 species